ACGGAAGGCAGCAGUGGGGAAUAUUGCACAAUGGGGGAAACCCUGAUGCAGCGACGCCGCGUGAAGGAAGAAGUAUCUCGGUAUGUAAACUUCUAUCAGCAGGGAAGAAAAUGACGGUACCUGACUAAGAAGCCCCGGCUAACUACGUGCCAGCAGCCGCGGUAAUACGUAGGGGGCAAGCGUUAUCCGGAUUUACUGGGUGUAAAGGGAGCGCAGGCGGUAACGCAAGCCAGAGGUGAAAACCCGGGGCUCAACCCCGAGGAUUGCCUUUGGAACUGUGGAACUGGAGUGCUGGAGGGGCAGGCGGAAUUCCUGGUGUAGCGGUGAAAUGCGUAGAUAUCAGGAGGAACACCGGUGGCGAAGGCGGCCUGCUGGACAGUAACUGACGCUGAGGCUCGAAAGCGUGGGGAGCAAACAGGAUUAGAUACCCUGGUA
rnacentral:rRNA from 1 species